rnacentral:tRNA from 1 species
GCAUCGGUGGCUUAGUGGUAGAAUGCUCGCCUACCACGCGGGCGGCCCGGGUUCGAUUCCCGGCCGAUGCA